rnacentral:rRNA from 1 species
GAUGAACGCUGGCGGCGUGCCUAAUACAUGCAAGUCGAGCGAACAGAUAAGGAGCUUGCUCCUUUGACGUUAGCGGCGGACGGGUGAGUAACACGUGGGUAACCUACCUAUAAGACUGGAAUAACUCCGGGAAACCGGGGCUAAUGCCGGAUAACAUUUAGAACCGCAUGGUUCUAAAGUGAAAGAUGGUUUUGCUAUCACUUAUAGAUGGACCCGCGCCGUAUUGGCUAGUUGGUAAGGUAACGGCUUACCAAGGGAACGAUACGUAGCCGACCUGAGAGGGUGAUCGGCCACACUGGAACUGAGACACGGUCCAGACUCCUACGGGAGGCAGCAGUAGGGAAUCUUCCGCAAUGGGCGAAAGCCUGACGGAGCAACGCCGCGGGAGUGAGGAAGGUCUUCGGAUCGUAAAACUCUGUUAUUAGGGAAGAACAAAUGUGUAAGUAACUGUGCACGUCUUGACGGUACCUAAUCAGAAAGCCACGGCUAACUACGUG